GGCUCCUUAGCUCAGCUGGCUAGAGCGUUCGAUUCACAUUCGAGAGGUCACAGGUUCGAGCCCUGUAGGAGCCA
rfam:Microgenomates bacterium GW2011_GWB1_45_17 TX00_C0010, whole genome shotgun sequence.